rnacentral:rRNA from 1 species
CCGAUGACCAAUCUUUCGAGAGAGUGAUUCGGUGGAAAGUGGCGGAAGGGUGAGUAACGCGUGGGUAACCUACCCUUAAGUUGGGGACAACCCCGGGAAACCGGGGCUAAUACCGAAUGUGGUCCCUUGGCGCAUGUCGGGGCGACUAAAGGUGGGGAUUCUUCGGAACCUGCCGCUCAGGGAGGGGCCCGCGUGCCAUUAGCUUGUUGGUGAGGUAACGGCUCACCAAGGCGCAUGGCUAGCUGGUCUGAGAGGAUGAUCAGCCACACUGGGACUGAGACACUGCCCAGACUCCUACGGGAGGCUGCAGUCGAGGAUCAUUCGCAAUGCGCGAAAGCGUGACGAUGCGACGCUGCGUGGAGGAUGACGGCCUUCGGGUUGUAAACUCCUGUCAAGAGGGAAGAACGGUGCCGGGUUGAUAACGCCCGGUACGUGACGGUACCUCUAGAGGAAGCCACGGCUAACUCUGUGCCAGCAGCCGCGGUAAUUCAGAGGUGGCAAGCGUUGUUCGGAUUUA